ensembl:snRNA U5 U5 spliceosomal RNA
AUACUCUGGUUUCUUUUCAGACCGAAUAAGUCUUUCACCUUUUACUAAAGAUUUCCAUGGAGAAGGCCUUUCAAUGAACAAUAUAUUGAAGUUAGAUAAGCUUCUCAUUUAGAAUGAU